rnacentral:rRNA from 1 species
UAGGGAAUCUUCGGCAAUGGGGGUAACCCUGACCGAGCAACGCCGCGUGAGUGAAGAAGGUUUUCGGAUCGUAAAGCUCUGUUGUUAAGGAAGAACGAGUGUGAGAAUGGAAAGUUCAUGCUGUGACGGUACUUAACCAGAAAGGGACGGCUAACUACGUGCCAGCAGCCGCGGUAAUACGUAGGUCCCGAGCGUUGUCCGGAUUUAUUGGGCGUAAAGCGAGCGCAGGCGGUUAGAAAAGUCUGAAGUGAAAGGCAGUGGCUCAACCAUUGUAGGCUUUGGAAACUGUUUAACUUGAGUGCAGAAGGGGAGAGUGGAAUUCCAUGUGUAGCGGUGAAAUGCGUAGAUAUAUGGAGGAACACCGGUGGCGAAAGCGGCUCUCUGGUCUGUAACUGACGCUGAGGCUCGAAAGCGUGGGGAGCGAACAGG